rnacentral:rRNA from 1 species
GUUGAACGCUGGCGGCAGGCCUAACACAUGCAAGUCGAGCGGAGCGGGGGACGGGUGAGUAAUGCAUAGGAAUAUGCCUGGUAGUGGGGGAGAACGUCCGGAAAGGGGCGGUAAUACCGCAUACUAUCAGAUGAGCCUAGGUCGGAUGAGUUAGGUGGUGGGGUAAAGGCCUAGCAAGGCGACGAUCCGUAACUGGUCUGAGAGGAUGAUCAGACACACUGGGACUGAGACACGGUCCAUACUCCGACGGGAGGCAGCAGUAGGGAAUAUUCGACAAGGGGCGCAAGCCUGAUGCAGCCAGGCCGCGUGUGUGAAGAAGGUCUUCGGAUUGUAAAGCACUUUAAGUUGGGAGGCGGUACCAACAGAAUAAGCACCGGCUAACUUCGUGCCAGCAGCCGCGGUAAUUC